AAACAUUUAGGUUUGCCUCACUUCUAUUUUUUAAGUAUUUGAUAUAAAGUUUUUGUUUUUUUUUGGAGGAUUUUUUAAUACCUUUGGUGAUCCAAGGACAUUUUAAAUAUUUUUCUUUUAUUAAUUUUUCUUUAAUUGGGAAAUGCAUAUUAUAGUUUUUUAGGAAAAUUUUUUCAAAGUAAUUAUAAGCAGAGUUUGUGUUCCCAAGGUUGCAUUCUUGGUAUACCUUGUCCCAUUGUUCUGCCGAUAAUUUUAUAUCUUGUGUCAAAGAGAAGAAAACAGGGAAAUGAUCAGAAAUGUCUGUCUUUAUUAUUCCUGCCUUUAGAGAAGUAUCAAAGAUUGAAUUAGUUAAUAUAUUGUCUAUUGCAGUGAUUGAAGUUGGAGUUACUCGGGUUGGUUUAUUAAUAAUUGGGAAGAUGUAAUAUUGAAGCAUUUCGUCAAAAAAAAGUUUAAUAUUGGCAUUUUUUUCAUAUUGUAAACAAUCUAUGUUAAUAUCACCAAUACAGAAUAUUUUUUUUUGCU